rnacentral:rRNA from 1 species
GGGUCAGUAGGUUGGUCGUGCCACCGGUACGUACUGGUCUCACUGAUUCCUCCUUCCUGAAGAACCGUAAUGCCAUUAAUUUGGUGUUGCGGGGAAACAGGACUGUUACUUUGAAAAAAUUAGAGUGUUUAAAGCAAGCUAACGCUUGAAUACAUUAGCAUGGAAUGAUGAAAUAGGACGAUCGAUCCUAUUUUGUUGGUUUCUAGGAUUGACGUA